rnacentral:lncRNA from 1 species
AGCAGUGUCGCCUGAAAUUGGUGGAGACAGAGACAAGAAAGAGGCAGAGAUAUCGUCCUCGGCCAAUAUAGAAGAGAAAUCAACAACGGUAGAAGUACUAGAAGGCGAUGGACGAGGACGAGAAUAAAUAAUUGGUUUGGCAUGAACAACGCUGUCUUCUGAAAAAGGUGGAGAGAGAGACAAGGUUAGAAAAUCAUGGGGAGAUUGAUGAACAG